rnacentral:rRNA from 1 species
GAUGAACGCUGACAGAAUGCUUAACACAUGCAAGUCGACUCGAGUCUUCGGACUUGGGUGGCGCACGGGUGAGUAACGCGUAAAGAACUUGCCUCUUAGACCGGGACAACAUCUGGAAACGGAUGCUAAUACCGGAUAUUAUGGUUUUUUCGCAUGGAGGAAUCAUGAAAGCUGGAUGCGCUAAGAGAGAGCUUUGCGUCCCAUUAGCUAGUUGGUGAGGUAACGGCCCACCAAGGCAAUGAUGGGUAGCCGGCCUGAGAGGGUGAACGGCCACAAGGGGACUGAGACACGGCCCUUACUCCUACGGGAGGCAGCAGUGGGGAAUAUUGGACAAUGGACCGCAAGUCUGAUCCAGCAAUUCUGUGUGCACGAUGACGUUUUUCGGAAUGUAAAGUGCUUUCAGUCGGGAAGAAGUCAGUGACGGUACCGACAGAAGAAGCGACGGCUAAAUACGUGCCAGCAGCCGCGGUAAUACGUAUGUCGCAAGCGUUAUCCGGAUUUAUUGGGCGUAAAGCGCGUCUAGGCGGCAAGGAAAGUCUGAUGUGAAAAUGCGGAGCUCAACUCCGUAUGGCGUUGGAAACUGCUUUACUAGAGUACUGGAUAGGUAGGCGGAACUACAAGUGUAGAGGUGAAAUUCUUAUAAUAUUUGUAGGAAAUGCCGAUGGGGGAAUCCAGCCUACUUGACGGAUUACUGGACGCUAUGGCGCGAAUAUUGGGGUAGCAAACAGGAAUAGAUACCCUGGGUGUCCUAUGUCGAAUUCCUCAUUGUAGAUCAGUUUGUUGUGUCGCUACCGCCGCGCGGGGAAAUAAAAAACUAAAUUUUUUUUAUUGUUUAUUGGGGUUGUUUCUGUGUGUGUGUUGUUUUUUGUUUGUUUUGUGUGUGUGUGUGGAAAAAAAUGUUGACUGAUGCCUGUUGUGCUGUGUGUGUUGUUUUGUGUACUGUGAUAGUUGUCUGUCUUGUGUGUUUGU